rnacentral:rRNA from 1 species
GACCCGAAACCCGGUGAUCUAGCCAUGGGCAGGUUGAAGGUUGGGUAACACUAACUGGAGGACCGAACCGACUAAUGUUGAAAAAUUAGCGGAUGACCUGUGGCUGGGGGUGAAAGGCCAAUCAAACCGGGAGAUAGCUGGUUCUCCCCGAAAGCUAUUUAGGUAGCGCCUCGUGAAUUCAUCUCCGGGGGUAGAGCACUGUUUCGGCUAGGGGGCCAUCCCGGCUUACCAACCCGAUGCAAACUGCGAAUACCGGAGAAUGUUAUCACGGGAGACACACGGCGGGUGCUAACGUCCGUCGUGAAGAGGGAAACAACCCAGACCGCCAGCUAAGGUCCCAAAGUCAUGGUUAAGUGGGAAACGAUGUGGGAAGGCCCAGACAGCCAGGAUGUUGGCUUAGAAGCAGCCAUCAUUUAAAGAAAGCGUAAUAGCUCACUGGUCGAGUCGGCCUGCGCGGAAGAUGUAACGGGGCUAAACCAUGCACCGAAGCUGCGGCAGCGAACGUAUCACCCAAGACAACUUUACGGAGUUGACGAUUGACGGAGCGAAGCGACGUCAAAGCGUUCAUUAAAGUCGAGUUGGCUUAGGGAUACGUUCGUUGGGUAGGGGAGCGUUCUGUAAGCCUGUGAAGGUGUGUCGUGAGGCAUGCUGGAGGUAUCAGAAGUGCGAAUGCUGACAUAAGUAACGAUAAAGCGGGUGAAAAGCCCGCUCGCCGGAAGACCAAGGGUUCCUGUCCAACGUUAAUCGGGGCAGGGUGAGUCGACCCCUAAGGCGAGGCCGAAAGGCGUAGUCGAUGGGAAACGGGUUAAUAUUCCCGUACUUGGUGUUACUGCGAAGGGGGGACGGAGAAGGCUAUGUUGGCCGGGCGACGGUUGUCCCGGUUUAAGCGUGUAGGUGUGUGUUCCAGGUAAAUCCGGUUCACUUUAACACUGAGGCGUGACGACGAGGCACUACGGUGCUGAAGCAACAAAUGCCCUGCUUCCAGGAAAAGCCUCUAAGCAUCAGGUAACAC